AACGAACGCUGGCGGCAUGCCUAACACAUGCAAGUCGAACGAGACCUUCGGGUCUAGUGGCGCACGGGUGCGUAACGCGUGGGAACCUGCCCUUAGGUUCGGAAUAACUCCCCGAAAGGGGUGCUAAUACCGGAUAAUGUCUUCGGACCAAAGAUUUAUCGCCUUUGGAUGGGCCCGCGUUGGAUUAGCUAGUUGGUAGGGUAAAAGCCUACCAAGGCGACGAUCCAUAGCUGGUCUGAGAGGAUGAUCAGCCACACUGGGACUGAGACACGGCCCAGACGCAAGCAGGAGGAAGCGGGGGGGAGUAGUAGACGAAGGGCGAAGGCGUGAAACGGCCAUGCCGCGGGAGUGAUGAAGACAGUAGGGGUGUAAAGCUCUUAGGCGAGCGAUGAGAAGGACGGGGCAGGGAGAAAAGGCACAGACUAACGCCAUG
rnacentral:rRNA from 1 species